rnacentral:tRNA from 1 species
GGAUGUGUGCCUGAACGCCUUAAGGAUUACUUUGAUAGAGUAAAACAUAGAGGUUUAAAUCCUCUCACCUCCU